AUACAGAGGGUGCAAGCGUUAAUCGGAAUUACUGGGCGUAAAGCGCGUGUAGGCGGCUUGGCAAGUCGGAUGUGAAAUCCCGGGGCCCAACCCCGGAACUGCAUUCGAAACUGCUUCGCUAGAGUCCCGGAGAGGAAGGCGGAAUUCCCGGUGUAGAGGUGAAAUUCGUAGAUAUCGGGAGGAACACCAGUGGCGAAGGCGGCCUUCUGGACGGUGACUGACGCUGAGACGCGAAAGCGUGGGGAGCAAACAGGAUUAGAUACCCCGGUAGUCC
rnacentral:rRNA from 1 species